UGCAUAUGGACUCAGUACUUGGUUUGGGCCCCUUUUGCAGUAAUUACUGCCUCAAUGUGGUGUGGCAUGGAAGCUAUCAGCCUGUAGCACUGCUGAGGUUUUAUGGAAGACCAGGAUGAUUCAAUAGCGGCCUUCAGCUCUUCUGCAUUGUUCGGUCUCAUGUCUCUCAUCUUUCUAUUGGCAAUGCCCCAUAUAUUUUCUAUGGGAUUCAGGUCAGGCGAGUUUGCUAGCCAAUCAAGCAC